rnacentral:tRNA from 1 species
AUUCAUUUAGUAUAAAUAAGUAUGUUAAGCUUCCAACUUAAAGGUUAAUUUCAAUUAAAUGAAUA